rnacentral:rRNA from 1 species
GUGGGGAAUAUUGGGCAAUGGGCGAAAGCCUGACCCAGCAACGCCGCGUGAAGGAAGAAGGCUUUCGGGUUGUAAACUUCUUUUGUCAGGGACGAAAAAAAUGACGGUACCUGACGAAUAAGCCACGGCUAACUACGUGCCAGCAGCCGCGGUAAUACGUAGGUGGCAAGCGUUAUCCGGAUUUACUGGGUGUAAAGGGCGUGUAGGCGGGAAAGCAAGUCAGAUGUGAAAACUAUGGGCUCAACCCAUAGCCUGCAUUUGAAACUGUUUUUUUUGAGUACUGGAGAGGCAGAUGGAAUUCCUAGUGUAGCGGUGAAAUGCGUAGAUAUUAGGAGGAACACCAGUGGCGAAGGCGAUCUGCUGGACAGCAACUGACGCUGAGGCGCGAAAGCGUGGGGAGCAAACAGGAUUAGAUACCCCUGUAGUCC